CUUGUUUGUUGGUGUACCGAUGUUUUCGUCAUGUUCUUGGAACAAGAAUCAGCUUUUUCAACCUACGUGAGACUCGAAGAUGUCGAACUCAACCACCGAGCCUAAACAGAUCUGCGAAGAAAACGAUGACGCCGAAUAAGAAAGAAUCUAAGCCUUCCAUUUUAAAGUUCAAGAGACAAUCCUGCGCUGAUUUGUCUCCAUUGGAAUGGCUCUUUCUUGUCCUGUCUAUCUUCGCUUUUGGAUGUGCAGCGGCUCUUACAAUGCUUAUGUUUGCAGAAGAAAAACCGGAUUCGCCAAAUUUUGUAUUGGCAAUCGUUUUGGGUAUCAUAGCAGAAGAAAAACCGGAUUCACCAAAUUUUGUAUUGGCAAUCGUUUUGGGUAUCAUAGCAG